UUCUACGGCCGUAUAACCAAGAUUGACUUCCGUAAAAGUGGUGAGAAGAGAGAGUGUGAUGCGGAUAAGAAGGAAAGGGACUGUCGAAAGAGACUCUGAGAGCGAAGAGGCUCUUUUGCUUUAACCACAACACUCCAAUAGCUCAAUUGAAACUCGCCUGCAGUCGAUUUGUUUUCUUGAUUUGACGAUGAAGGUCUCUAAUCUGACGAUCCGUACUAUACCAUUUAAAAGAAACUUGAAAAACAAACAUAUUCAUAAGAAGCUUGAUUGAGACGGAGGAAGAACAGAGGGACGAGAAGAUCGAGGAGGACGAAGAUGGAACUGGGUCUUAAAGAUACUCUAGAAUGGUUGUCUCCAUUGUCCGUAGAAAAAAAAAAAAAAGAGUCCGAAUUGGACCUAGGCUUUUCAGCGACAAAUGGCUCAUUUUGAGUUACGAUCGAGCAAA